UACGUAGGGUGCGAGCGUUAAUCGGAAUUACUGGGCGUAAAGCGUGCGCAGGCGGUUAUGUAAGACAGAUGUGAAAUCCCAGGGCUCAACCUUGGAGCUGCAUUUGUGACUGCAUAGCUAGAGUACGGUAGAGGGGGAUGGAAUUCCGCGUGUAGCAGUGAAAUGCGUAGAUAUGCGGAGGAACACCGAUGGCGAAGGCAAUCCCCUGGACCUGUACUGGCGCUCAUGCACGAAAGCGUGGGGAGCAAACAUG
rnacentral:rRNA from 1 species